rnacentral:rRNA from 1 species
AAUCUUCCACAAUGGGCGAAAGCCUGAUGGAGCAACGCCGCGUGAUUGAAGAAGGUUUUCGGUUCGUAAAACUCUGGUGUACGGGAAGAACAAGUAUAGUAGUAACUGGCUGUACCCUGACGGUACCUUAUUAGAAAGUCACCGCUAACUACGUGCCAGCAUCCGCGGUAAUACGUAGGUGGCAAGCUUUGUCCGGAAUUAUUGGGCGUAAAGCGCGCGCAGGCGGUCCUUUAAGACUGAUGGGAAAGCACACGGCUCAACCGUGGAGGGUCAUUGGAAACUGGGAGACUUGAGUGCAGCAGAGGAAAGUGGAAUACCAAGUGUAGCGGUGAAAUGCGUAGAGAUUUGGAGGAACACCAGUGGCGAAGGCGACUUUCUGGUCUGUAACUGACGCUGAGGCGCGAAAGCGUGGGGAGCAAACAGG